GAUGAACGCUGGCGGCAUGCCUAAUACAUGCAAGUCGAGCGAACUGAUUAGAAGCUUGCUUCUAUGACGUUAGCGGCGGACGGGUGAGUAACACGUGGGCAACCUGCCUGUAAGACUGGGAUAACUUCGGGAAACCGAAGCUAAUACCGGAUAGGAUCUUCUCCUUCAUGGGAGAUGAUUGAAAGAUGGUUUCGGCUAUCACUUACAGAUGGGCCCGCGGUGCAUUAGCUAGUUGGUGAGGUAACGGCUCACCAAGGCAACGAUGCAUAGCCGACCUGAGAGGGUGAUCGGCCACACUGGGACUGAGACACGGGCCAGACUCCUACGGGAGGCAGCAGUAGGGAAUCUUCCGCAAUGGACGAAAGUCUGACGGAGCAACGCCGCGUGAGUGAUGAAGGCUUUCGGGUCGUAAAACUCUGUUGUUAGGGAAGAACAAGUACAAGAGUAACUGCUUGUACCUUGACGGUACCUAACCAGAAAGCCACGGCUAACUACGUGCCAGCCGCCGCAGUAAUAC
rnacentral:rRNA from 1 species